rnacentral:tRNA from 2 species
GCCUCCAUAGCUCAGGGGAUAGAGCACCGCUCUCCUAAAGCGGGUGUCGCAGGUUCAAAUCCUGCUGGGGGCA